UCCAUUAGAACACCUAGGUCACGAAUGC
rnacentral:sRNA from 1 species